GCCAGACUCCUACGGGAGGCAGCAGUGGGGAAUAUUGCACAAUGGGGGGAACCCUGAUGCAGCGACGCCGCGUGGGUGAAGGAGCACCUCGGUGCGUAAAGCCCUAUCGGCAGGGAAGAAAAAGACGGUACCUGACUAAUAAGCCCCGGCUAACUACGUGCCAGCAGCCGCGGUAAUACGUAGGGGGCAAGCGUUAUUCGGAUUUACUGGGUGUAAAGGGGGCGCAGACGGCGAUGCAAGUCAGGAGUGAAAGCCCGGGGCUCAACCCCAGGACUGCUUUUGGAACUGCUUGUCUGGAGUGUGGGAGGGGCAGGCGGAAUUCCUGGUGUAGCGGUGAAAUGCGUAGAUAUCAGGAGGAACACCGGUGGCGAAGGCGGCCUGCUGGACUGCAACUGACGUUGAGGCCCGAAAGCGUGGGGAGCAAACAGGAUUAGAUACCCCAGUACA
rnacentral:rRNA from 1 species